rnacentral:rRNA from 1 species
AUUGAACGCUAGCGGCAUGCCUUACACAUGCAAGUCGAACGGAGUGGCGAACGGGUGAGUAAUGUAUCGGAACGUGCCCAGUCGCGGGGGAUAACUACGCGAACGCGUAGCUGAUACUGCAUACUCUUGGAGCGGCCGAUACCGGAUUAGCUUGUUGGUGGGGUAACGGCUCACCAAGGCGACGAUCCGUAGCUGGUUUGAGAGGACGACCAGCCACACUGGAACUGAGACACGGCCCAGACUCCUACGGGAGGCAGCAGUGGGGAAUAUUGGACAAUGGGGGAAACCCUGAUCCAGCCAUCCCGCGUGUGCGAUGAAGGCCUUCGGGUUGUAAAGCACUUUUAGCAGGAAGGCGGUACCUGCAGAAUAAGCACCGGCUAACUACGUGCCAGCAGCCGCGGUAAUAC